GAUGAACGCUAGCGGCAGGCCUAAUACAUGCAAGUCGAACGAUACCAGAGAGCUUGCUUUCUGGGAAAGUGGCGCACGGGUGCGUAACGCGUAUGCAACCUACCUUAAUCAGGGGGAUAGCCUCUCGAAAGAGAGAUUAACACCGCAUAAAAUCACACUUCGGCAUCGAAGAAUGAUCAAAUNUUUANAGGAUUAAGAUGGGCAUGCGUGACAUUAGCUAGUUGUAAGUAACGGCUUACCAAGCUACGAUGUCUAGGGAUCUGAGAGGAUGACCCCCCANACUGGUACUGAGACACGGACCAGACUCCUACGGGAGGCAGCAGUAAGGAAUA
rnacentral:rRNA from 1 species